AAAAUUGCAGAUUGUAUAAAUUUUUCUUCUGCAAUCUUGAAAAUCUAUCUGCAGAUUGCAGACUGCAGACAGGUAUUUCGAACACUGUAAUACUAUAAUAGGCAUCAAGACAUGUUGUGUUAGAAUGUGGGAUUAUCACAGUGAACUUCUGGCAUGUACAUAUAUGUGUUCGGUAUACAGUCAAACCUGUCCAGGCAACCAUCUCUUCAAGCCGGACCUUUUCCUGAAACUUUUCUCCUUUGACACAAGCACGAACAGCCUACUCAGGGCGACCACCUGGCCAAAACAGCCAUGAUUCGGAUCUGCUCAUUGCCACCACAACAUUUUCAGUGGAGUGACAAAAUCAAAUGUACAUGAUUUAGGUGUGUAUACACAUGUUUGAGUAAAAAUGAAUUUUUUAGCCCAGCGCCUAUAAUCAACAAAUACAAAAGGUAUAUAGAGCAUGACUAAGGGUUAGACAAGUUUUCAAAAAGCCACUUUUCCCAUUGGGCAAGUACAAGUUCAUUUCCACCAACUUUUUCACUUGCCCAAAAUAUACAUAUUUCUAUGCAUUUUUACUAGUAAUCUUAUUUUGCAGUUUAUAAUGUUGGAUGCUUAACUUUCCUAGCUGAGAAAGGGCACCCCGGGAUCCUCCAUCAAAGUGAUUCAGUGCUGUGAGCAAAUUUAACUUUUAACCACACUCGGCCAAAUUAUUAUUUUGCAUUUGAUUAAUCAUGAAUUUUUACCACAACAGUACUAAUCACCAAGAGUGCCCCAUUUUCCCAGAUGUUUUUCCACUUUUUCUUUUCUUGCAGCAAUAUCGUAUUCAACUUUUUAAAAGAAAUUUAUAUAUCGUCCAAGAAAGUAUUCAAAAUUUACUUUGUUGGACUUUCUAUUAUUGUAUAUAAUGAUUUUUGGUAACGGAAUAAUUAAAUUUUGGAUUGUAGGGUGCUAGGAAGCAGGUUUCCAAAGAUAAUGAUAAAACUAGUUAAAUAAAUAUGUUGACCUGUUUUUUGAAAGUACCAAGUUUUUAUUUUAUCCCAAAAGCUAAUUUAAUUAGAUUAGGGCAUUCCCAAAACACAUGAAGGUACAUUUGUAGGUUUCUCCCUCGGACUGGCAGAAUGAGCACAAUGGAUUAUCAAUACAUUUCCAAAUAUGUAAAAGUCUAUUUGUAGGUAAGAACUUAUGUAAGAGUCUAUAUUGAAAGAACCUAGCUGAUGGGUCAAUUGUACAGUAAGUUGAGGAAGUAUAUGCUUGUUUCCAAGGGAUGGGGGUGUCAAUGAAAUGUUAUAAUGGGAUAAUGAAUGUUACUUUCUCUGCCUGCAGGUCCUGCCUCACACCUACCAUGUCAUCCUGCACGGGCAACAACUUCAGCUGACCUGCCAAAUGACAUGAGGAAUUAUGCUGACACAGGACUUAGACUUUCAGUAGCAAGGUCAAUCAUUUGGGACUGCAAGUGAGAUUACUAACUAUAGAGCAAUAGAGAUUUGACCUCUAGCUCUUUCCCCAACAGGCAUAAGACUUUAGCUACAUAUAUUUGAUAUGACUUUUCCCUUCUUAACAGGCAUCAGUGGAUUACUGAUCGUAUUACACAGAAUUGGCUUUUUCUCUUAACAAGUGAAGUUGUUGGCAACACUCUGAAUGCUCUUGUGUAUUGUUUAAUAGCUUUUUUCCUCCGAACAGGUACAUUUUGUAAGCAGAGUCCAGUUUCUUGUACUGAUUACUUUAUUGUUACCUCUGAUCAGGUGUUUGGUUGCUUCUAUUGUUUAAUAGCUUUUUUCCUCCGAACAGGUACAUUUUGUAAGCAGAGUCCAGUUUCUUGUACUGAUUACUUUAUUUUUACCUCUGAACAGGUGUUUGGUUGCUUUUAUUGUUUAAUAGCUUUUUUCCUCCGAACAGGUACAUUUUGUAAGCAGAGUCCAGUUUUUUUGUACUGAUUACUUUAUUUUUACCUCUGAACAGGUUUUUGGUUGCUUCUAUUGUUUAAUAGCUUUUUUCCUCCAAACAGGUACAUUUUGUAAGCAGAGUCCAGUUUUUUUGUACUGAUUACUUUAUUUUUACCUCUGAACAGGUGUUUGGUUGCUUCUAUUGUUUAAUAGCUUUUUUCCUCCAAACAGGUACAUUUUGUAAGCAUAGUCCAGUUUUUUUGUUACUGAUUACUUUAUUUUUACCUCUGAACAGGUGUUUGGUUGCUUCUAUUGUUUACUUGCUUUUUUCCUCUGUUGUGAGAUUUUGAGAGUCAGAGAUUUUGAGAUUGUGAGAGUCAGAAGUUGGAAUUGUGUUUUGAGAUUGGCUGAAAAUGGGAAUAUUCUAUGUGUGUAUAUGAACAGUAUGUGUCAGAGGUUGGAAUUGUGUUGUGAGAUUGACUGUACAUGGGAAUGUUCUAUGUGUGUAUAUGAACAGUAUGUGUCAGACUGUAUGUAUGAUUGACUGUACAUGGGAAUGUUCUAUGUGUGUAUAUGAACAGUAUGUGUCAGACUGUAUGUAAGAUUGGCUGUACAUGGGAAUGUUCUAUGUGUGUAUAUGAACAGUAUGUGUCAGAGGUUGGAAUUGUGUUGUGAGAUUGAUUGUACAUGGGAAUGUUCUAUGUGUGUAUAUGAACAGUAUGUGUCAGACUGUAUGUGAAACCUAGGUUCUGUUUGAAGGUAGAUACGGCCUUAAACUGUAUUUUAGGGUUCAUGGGUUAUUUUAAAGGCACAUUAAGCCUUAAACCGUCUUAAGAUUCCUGGGUUAUAUUCUACUUAUAGUGAAAGGCAGAUACCGACUUAGACUGUCUUAAGAUUCCUUGGUUAUUUUUGCAUUCAGAGUAGGUUGCAUUGUAUGUUUCCAUUCAGGCAGAUACCGCCUUAAAGCUAACGUUAAGAUUCAUUGGUUAUUUUAAAGGCAGAUACCACCUUAAACCGUCUUAAGAUUUCUGAGUCCUGUUCUAGGUUAUAAUGUUUGAAAAUGGGAUUCCUGGUUUCUGUUCUAGGUUAUGUUAGAAGGCAGAUACUGCCUUAAACCACCUCAGAAUACUAGGUUAUGUUCUAGGUUAUGUUAUGUUAGAAGUCAGAUACCACCUUUAACUGUCAUAAGAUUCUUGAGCUUUGUUCUGGGCUUAUGUUUGAAGACUUAUGCCGCCUUAAAUUGAUUACUGUUUUUCUUUCCUGGAACAGGUCAAGGCAUUUAACUGUAAUCUGACUCACUGGACUGCCAUUUUUUUCUUGAACAGGGGAAGGUGUUUAACUGAAUUGAUGACUGCUUUCCCCUGAGGCUGUCAGGUGAAGGUGUUUUAUUGAGGAAGAUACUGCCUUAAACUGGCCUAAGAUUCCUUUUAACAUGUUUUAAAACUGUAUUUUUACUGUAUUGAUUCCCUUAAACAGGUAGAGGUGUUCAACAGUAUUGAUUACUGUUUUACUUAAACUGACUUCUCUGCUUCCCUAUUUCUGUGUAGAUGCCUGCGGUGGGGGUUAAGGGGCUCUGGGACAUGUGAUAGCUUAGCAGCUGUACUCUUGACUGUUAGAGUAGCUAAGCACAUGGGUUCCUCCUGCUACACUCUUAGUCCAUAGGGUGUCUAGCAUACUGGUUCCUCCCAUCCCCUAAAGCCUCUCACGUCUGGCUCCUCGUGCCAACCCCCGGGCAACGGCCUCAGCUGGCCGGCCAAACGAUGUGAGGGGUGGUCCGGAAUCCUGACACUGUAGGGCAGAGGAUGUCCGGUGGAGAGGUUACUAGUGUUGGCACAGGCUUUCCUACUGCAUGUUAUUGGCCCUUGGUGUGACCAGGGUGAACCAGGCUUGCAAAGAGGCAGUCAGCCAUGGCAAGGCUCAGAGAGGAGAUGGACAGCAGCUGGUCAUACAUUUGUACUAACAAAGACACAUUGCAUGAAUAAAUGUUCCAUUAUCAGUGUCUAGGAGAACAACCUAAAGGCAAAUAGUUCAAGGUCUGAGCGAGCCUGAAGGAGACACUCAAGCAGAGGUAGAACUUCUGAGUGGCAUUCGGUCGCUGACAACCUUCCUUUCAAGCUGAGAUUGAAGUCACCUUCUGAUCUGCACCUGUGGAUGUUAAUUUGGUUCCUAUUUAGCUCAAGCCAAUCCACGUGCCUCAAUUUGUUGUACAAACCAGCCUAGUACAACUGUAUGACUGUUAACAUUGUUGUUUCUAUGGUACCGGUAGUUUUUGGAUCUUUCAUAGGAUGCUAGUGUUUUUAUAUAGCACACUCGCUCCAUUGAUUUCCUGCUAAAAUCCGGGAAUCAAGAGUUGGCAUUAAUCAGAAAAUAUGUAAAGCAAAUAAAUAGUCCAUCAACUACAAUCCAAUAACUGAGAAACUGAGAGGAUGACUGUUGUUGUUGUGAUAUAGCUAAAAUGUUAGAAGCACUAAUGUGAAGCUUCAGGCUUAGAUAUUAUGAGAUAGGAGAACUGUAGACAUCUUUUACAUUUACAUUCCAAGAUGAUGAUAGUGCUAGUCUACGUCUUCAUUUGUAAAGUCUGAUUGACAAACGAGUUAAUCUACUAUUCCACUGUUUUAUUGCUGGUGCAUGACAAAUAAAAGACUUGUUGGCU